GUGCUGGUCCAUAUCUUGUAUAACGCAUUUGUGUAUGUCAUGGCGGUAGAUAAAGGGAAGCCUAGCAUUGUGCCUUCUAUAUUGGACAGAAUUCAUACUGGUAAUGUGGAAAUAAAAAUUCUGCUUUACCAAGGAGGCUGGACAGGGUGCCGCGGAAGUCCCAGGUUGUGCCUUACCACUCCCAAAAGGUUUGAAAAAAAACAAACCUCAAAAGAGACCAGGAAAGGUGCUU